rnacentral:lncRNA from 1 species
UCUGCCUUUCUAUUCUCAUCUUGUUGCACUCUUUCUCUCUCUCUCUCUUUUUUUUAAGUUUUAUUUAUUUAUUUGACAGAGAGAAGGGGAAAGCACACGCAGGGAGAGCAGCAGGCAGAGUGAGAAGCAGGCUCCCUGCUGAGCAAGGAGCCUGAUGCAGGACUCAAUCCCAGGACCCUGCAUGGGAUCGUGACCUGAACUGAAGACAGACACUUCACCAACUGAGCCUCCAGGAAUUUUACAUCACCACAGAAUUCUGGAGUUGAAAAGACUCAAAAAUUUGGGUUAUGCAUUGCCUAACUUUAAGAGAGGAGCUAUGAAACCACUCCAUUUAGGUGAGAAUGGCUUUUCUUCUAAAUAUUCUCUAUUUCUGUCCAGAAUAGAGAAUGAUCAGGUGUUA